rnacentral:rRNA from 1 species
GACGAACGCUGGCGGCGUGCUUAACACAUGCAAGUCGAGCGGUAAGGCCCUUUCGGGGGUACACGAGCGGCGAACGGGUGAGUAACACGUGGGUGACCUGCCCUCAGCUCUGGGAUAAGCCUGGGAAACCGGGUCUAAUACCGGAUAUGACUCCAUGACGCAUGUUGUGGGGUGGAAAGCCUUGUGCGGCUGAGGAUGGGCCCGCGGCCUAUCAGCUUGUUGGUGGGGUAAAAGCCUACCAAGGCGACGAUCCAUAGCUGGUCUGAGAGGACGACCAGCCACACUGGGACUGAGACACGGCCCAGACUCCUACGGGAGGCAGCAGUGGGGAAUCUUGGACAAUGGGCGCAAGCCUGAUCCAGCCAUGCCGCGUGAGUGAUGAAGGCCUUAGGGUUGUAAAACUCUUUACGCCGAGGACGAUAAUGACGGUACUCGGAGAAGAAGCUCCGGCUAACUUCGUGCCAGCCGCCGCCGUAAG